GAUUGGUUUUGAAUGUUUGUGUCUAAACAUACUUGAGCUGGAAUUGAAUCUUGCUAGCCAAAAGUUUCUUGGAGCUGCAAAAGUUGUCGAAUGAAAAGUGCAGCAGAAAACAAGAAAAUUCUGAAUUUUCUUUGUAUGUAGCAUUGCCGGAACUUGCAGGAUUGCAUUUUAGUUAUGGGCCUUGUUGCUUAGUUUCAUGACAUUAUUUUGAUCAAAAAUUGUGUUUUCAGAGCAAGCUGCGUUUGAAAUUUGUUUUGGCUGCUGAAAUCUUAAGGGCAAAGUGUCGAAAAAAUUUGUUUUUCUUUGUGGAUAGCAUGAAGUUGCAUUAGCUUUCAUGUCUUUGAUUCAUGUAACAGGCCACAAGAACCUGGGUUUUAUUCAUCCAAUUUGCUAGUUAAAUCUUGUGCAAAAUGAUUGACGAAGUUGCAUGUUUUGAUCCAAAGCAUCAAGGAAAGUGGCGGCAAAGCUGCAACUGGAAAAUUGCAGCACUUUACUCCUUUCUUUGGUUGAUAUUUCUUGUAUCUCUGGUAGCCACCGAUCCAGAUUUUCUGUUUUAGUCUUGUAAUGAAACUGUCACUCGAAUUGGUUGAUGAUUAGGAGUGAUGUUUUG
rnacentral:lncRNA from 1 species